GCCCCCAGUUAAGGUUGUUCAACGAACAUAGGCAUGAUGACGUAGCCAUAGAUAUAAAACAUUAAGACCAAAAAAUCCUCAUUCUACUUGUUUGAUUUAGUCGGCUUCCGUUUCCCUACACUGCCCUCAGGUGACAUAUAUACUUCAUUGGACUUUUGUGUGCCAACUUUUAAAUAAUUUUAGAUGGUCUUCUUUCCAUUAAAUUGUAAUCUUGAUUUAAUUAUCCCGAUGUUUUCCUUCCACACACACACACACACACACACACAUAUAUAUAUAUAUAU
rnacentral:lncRNA from 1 species